GACGAACGCUGGCGGCGUGCUUAACACAUGCAAGUCGAACGGAAAGGCCCUGCUUUUGUGGGGUGCUCGAGUGGCGAACGGGUGAGUAACACGUGAGUAACCUGCCCUUGACUUCGGGAUAACUUCAGGAAACUGGGGCUAAUACCGGAUAGGAGCUCCUGCUGCAUGGUGGGGGUUGGAAAGUUUCGGCGGUUGGGGAUGGACUCGCGGCUUAUCAGCUUGUUGGUGGGGUAGUGGCUUACCAAGGCCUUGACGGGUAGCCGGCCUGAGAGGGUGACCGGCCACAUUGGGACUGAGAUACGGCCCAGACUCCUACGGGAGGCAGCAGUGGGGAAUAUUGCACAAUGGGCGGAAGCCUGAUGCAGCAACGCCGCGUGCGGGAUGACGGCCUUCGGGUUGUAAACCGCUUUCGCCUGUGACGAAGCGUGAGUGACGGUAAUGGGUAAAGAAGCACCGGCUAACUACGUG
rnacentral:rRNA from 1 species